AGCUGUAGCUCAGAGGUAGAGCAUCUGCUUUGAAUGCAGAAGCUCACAGGUUCAAUCCCCAGUUAGGGUUG